AAUGCUUCUCUGACAGACCUCAAGCAGUAAAUAUCUGCUGCUGAGGUUUCCACUACAGACAUAAGAAAGUGAAGGUCCUUAUGCUUUCUGUCAAGAUUGAAAGGAGGAAUACAGGA
rnacentral:snoRNA from 1 species